rnacentral:rRNA from 1 species
AUCGUAACUCCUACGGGAGGCAGCAGUGGGGAAUUUUGGACAAUGGGGGCAACCCUGAUCCAGCAAUGCCGCGUGAGUGAAGAAGGCCUUCGGGUUGUAAAGCUCUUUUGUCAGGGAAGAAACGGUAGUAGCUAAUAUCUAUUACUAAUGACGGUACCUGAAGAAUAAGCACCGGCUAACUACGUGCCAGCAGCCGCGGUAAUACGUAGGGUGCAAGCGUUAAUCGGAAUUACUGGGCGUAAAGCGUGCGCAGGCGGUUGUGUAAGUCAGAUGUGAAAUCCCCGGGCUCAACCUGGGAAUUGCAUUUGAGACUGCACGGCUAGAGUGUGUCAGAGGGGGGUAGAAUUCCACGUGUAGCAGUGGAAUGCGUAGAUAUGUGGAGGAAUACCGAUGGCGAAGGCAGCCACCUGGGAUAACACUGACGCUCAUGCACGAAAGCGUGGGGAGCACACAGGAUUAGAAACCCUUGUAGUCCUAGAGC